GUCUCCAGUCCCAGCCACUGCUGACUGACAGAGACUUGGGACUUAAAAGUAGCAGUUGAAGCUCCACAAAGAUGCCCGAAGGAUCCCACAUCCUAACGAUCAUCACUCUUCACCUGACUCUGGAAAGCAUUGCUCACAGAGACAGGGGCUGAAGGUGAGAGCAGAGACAAGUCUUCCCUGGCUGGUGGACUGCUUCCUUCUCUGCUCUCAUCCAACACAGCUUUCUGAACCAUUGGAUGGACUCAGUGCUGGUUGACCAUCAACUGUGCGUUCCUCUAUCCAAGGAAGAAAAUACAGAAUACUCAUCGUAGCAUGCCCUCAAGAGUUGAAGAGAUUGAUGGUUGAAAAUCACACAAGGGCCAGUGUUCAGACAGAGAAGAGUCAAUAUUGAAACAAGGACGGUAUCCCAUCGAGUCUGCUGUAGGACAAGCUCUGUAGUUUUUGCAGACUUCUUGCUGAUACCUCUUCCUCUGCAUUUUUUUCUCCAGAGUUCCUAUUUCCUGGAGCUCAAAUCUUAACUAAUGGCUCCUCUGAGGCCUCUCAUCUUCUCUGACAUUGUGUCCAACCUUGACUACUUCCCAGUCAACACCACACAGAUUCCAUCCUGAAUUCCAGUUGUUCACAGUUCUUGCCUUGUAUGCCACACUGUGUUUUACACAUACUGACUGAUUGGAUGGGUAGGCACCUAGAUUAAUAACCCGCACCAGGUCUGUGGCUGUAAGGUUGCUCUCAGAGAGGAUUAAUGAAGAAGGAGGACUCACUAAGAGGGAGGACUCACUCUGACUUGGGGAACCAGGUGGAAUAAAAGGAAGAGAAAGAAGCCAGCAAGAACAGGCUCAUGCUCUCUGCUUCCGGGCUGCUCAAUGAACAAGCACUUUUCUUCCUUGGCUCCCGCCUGCUGUGAUACCGACCUCGUUGCAGUCCAAAAAAAAUAGACACAUGACCAGUGACUGAAACAUGUGAAACAACCGUGAGCCACAACGAACUGUUCCUCCAAUGAAGAAGCAUCUGUCAGGUGUUUUGUCAUAGCAACAGAAAGUCCAGCUUCUAAGUCAGUCCUUGCUCACUUCUGACUCUCAUCAACUUCCCUAUGCUUUCUGUUAUUCCUAUUCUCCAAUGUAGAAACUCCAUUAAAACCCACUUCUGUUUCUGUUAUUUCUGUCUUAAUAGAAGGAACUAGCAUCUUUUCUGAAUUAUUUCAAAAGCUAUUUUUGUGAUGAUAUUGCAUAUUGUUCUGUAAUUUUACUGGGGAGAGGGGAAAUGAUAGGAAUUGAGCCCAUGCCAGGUGUCUACUAAGUUACACCAUCCCCAAAUCCUGUUUGUGAAUCAUCUAAUUCAUGUAUUACCUGGCCAGACUGAUCUUUAAG
rnacentral:lncRNA from 1 species